GCUCUCUGCUGUGGAACCUGACUGACAUCAGUGCUUUGCCUGUGUGCAGAAGAAGAACAAGGACCAGAUCUCCAGUCUUCUCUCUCACAUCCCAACCCCCCCAUCCCCUCUAUCCUCUGUCCUGCUCCACCUGUUGUCUCUGCCUUCUUUCCAUCUGUAUUUCACUCUGUGGUUUGUUGCUCAGUUGCCAAACCAAAACUCUUAUUACGGUUUGAUGAUAAUUUCCAAGCCGUGUCUCUCCUGCUCUGGCUGUUCUCUCUGCUAAAUUUUCUCUCUACCUGUUUUUCACUCUUGGCUUGCUGCUGAAAGUGCCGGGCCAUUAAAGCAAUAAAGAGUGCAUAUUUUGCCUCAACCUGAGAACAAACUGAACAAACAAAGAAAAUUCUAAUUCACGGUUUAUUGUGAUUUCCAAGCCGUGUCUCUCCUGCUCUGCCUGUUCUCUCUUCUAAAUUUUCUCUCUACCUGUUUUUCACUCUUGGCUUGCUGCUGAAAAACGCCAAGCCAUUAAAGCAAUAAAGAGUGCAUAUAUUGCCUCUACCCUGAGAACAAACUGAACAAACAAAGAAAACUCUAAUUCACGGUUUGAUUGUGAUUUCAAAGCCGUGUCUCUGCUGCUCUGCCUGUUCUCUCUUCUAAAUUUUCUCUACCUGUUUUUCAUUCUGGGCUUGCUGCUAAAUUGUGCCAAGCUAAUAAAGAGAGUGCAUAAUAUUCUCUCGACUGAAGAACAAACUGUCAAACAAAGACAACUUUUUCAGAAAAAUAAAAAGUGAAAUAU